AGACCUGGAAAGGAGGAAGCGGGGAAGGAAGGUUGUCCUGUCGGGCUGGGGGCUCCCGGGAAUCCGGAGGCCAGCAGUGGAACCGCAAGGCUCUACAGGGCAGAUCUGCCUCCCGUGCUGUCUCAGCUACGCCGAGUCGUUGGCUCAGGGCGGAGGAUUUUCCUAUUGGCCGCGUUAUUUGAAUGGAAUGGAGGAUAGGUCGUGAAUAGAGAUGGGUUUUUGCCAUGUUGGCGGUGC
rnacentral:lncRNA from 1 species